AUUGAACGCUGGCGGCAUGCCUUACACAUGCAAGUCGAACGGCAGCACGGGAGCAAUCCUGGUGGCGAGUGGCGAACGGGUGAGUAAAGUAUCGGAACGUGCCCAGUCGUGGGGGAUAACGUAGCGAAAGUUACGCUAAUACCGCAUACGAUCUAUGGAUGAAAGCGGGGGAUCGCAAGACCUCGCGCGAUUGGAGCGGCCGAUAUCAGAUUAGGUAGUUGGUGGGGUAAAGGCUCACCAAGCGGACGAUCUGUAGCUGGUCUGAGAGGACGACCAGCCACAAUGGGACUGAGGCACGGCCCAGACUCCUACGGGAGGCAGCAGUGGGGAAUUUUGGACAAUGGGCGAAAGCCUGAUCCAGCCAUGCCGCGUGCAGGAUGAAGGCCUUCGGGUUGUAAACUGCUUUUGUACGGAACGAAAAGGUUUGGGCUAAUAAGCUGAGCUCAUGACGGUACCGUAAGAAUAAGCACCGGCUAACUACGUGCCAGCAGCCGCCGUAA
rnacentral:rRNA from 1 species